rnacentral:rRNA from 1 species
ACGAACGCUGGCGGCGCGCUUAACACAUGCAAGUCGAACGCUGAAGCUUGGUGCUUGCACUGGGUGGAUGAGUGGCGAACGGGUGAGUAAUACGUGAGUAACCUGCCCUUGACUCUGGGAUAAGCCUGGGAAACUGGGUCCAAUACUGGAUACGACAUGUCACCGCAUGGUGGUGUGUGGAAAGGGUUUUACUGGUUUUGGAUGGGCUCACGGCCUAUCAGCUUGUUGGUGGGGUAAUGGCUCACCAAGGCGACGACGGGUAGCCGGCCUGAGAGGGUGACCGGCCACACUGGGACUGAGACACGGCCCAGACUCCUACGGGAGGCAGCAGUGGGGAAUAUUGCACAAUGGGCGGAAGCCUGAUGCAGCGACGCCGCGUGAGGGAUGACGGCCUUCGGGUUGUAAACCUCUUUCAGCACGGAAGAAGCGAAAGUGACGGUACGUGCAGAAGAAGCGCCGGCUAACUACGUG